GAUGAACGCUGGCGGCGUGCUUAACACAUGCAAGUCGAACGGAAAGGCCCAAGCUUGCUUGGGUGCUCGAGUGGCGAACGGGUGAGUAACACGUGGGUGAUCUGCCCUGCACUUUGGGAUAAGCCUGGGAAACUGGGUCUAAUACCGGAUAGGACCAUCGUUUAGUGUCGGUGGUGGAAAGUUUUUCGGUGUGGGGUGAGCUCGCGGCCUAUCAGCUUGUUGGUGGGGUAAUGGCCUACCAAGGCGUCGACGGGUAGCCGGCCUGAGAGGGUGUACGGCCACAUUGGGACUGAGAUACGGCCCAGACUCCUACGGGAGGCAGCAGUGGGGAAUAUUGCACAAUGGGCGCAAGCCUGAUGCAGCGACGCCGCGUGGGGGAUGACGGCCUUCGGGUUGUAAACUCCUUUCGCCAAGGACGAAGCGUUUUGUGACGGUACUUGGAGAAGAAGCACCGGCUAACUACGUG
rnacentral:rRNA from 1 species